AACGAACGCUGGUGGCAGGCUUAACACAUGCAAGUCGAGCGCCCCGCAAGGGGAGCGGCAGACGGGUGAGUAACGCGUGGGAAUCUACCCAGCUCUACGGAAUAACUCAGGGAAACUUGUGCUAAUACCGUAUACGUCCUCCGGGAGAAAGAUUUAUCGGAGCUGGAUGAGCCCGCGUUGGAUUAGCUAGUUGGUGGGGUAAUGGCCCACCAAGGCGACGAUCCAUAGCUGGUCUGAGAGGAUGAUCAGCCACAUUGGGACUGAGACACGGCCCAAACCCCUACGGGGGGCAGCAGGGGGGAUUAUUGACCAAGGGGGGAAAGCCUGACCCAGCCAGGCGGGGUGGGUGAGGAAGGCCCUAGGGUGGAAAAGCUCUUUCCCCGGUGAAGAUAAUGCCGGUGCCGGAAAAAGAAGCCCCGGCUAACUUCGUGCCAGCAGCCGCCGUAA
rnacentral:rRNA from 1 species